GAAUGAGUCGGAUCAGUUUGGAGAUUACAGUUCAGAUGAACAGACGUGUGUGCAAAUAAGUGGAAUAUUGUAAAAAAAAAUGGCGUCAUCCCACAAAAUGAAGCUUAUGAUGAAAUAUUGGUGCUUGCCGUUCACUGACUCAAGAUCGUUCAGUGGUUAUCAUUGGCCAAUCUCACCAACGGGAUAUACUGAUCGUUUAUGUACCCGUGGCCAAGUAACAGCAAAGCGAGGUAAAAUGAGUAAAAAUUAAGUUUGAACUAAACUGAAAUUAUAUUAAAAAUAAAAUAAUUUAUAAAACAAUUAAUUGUAUUGUAUUUUUAUUGUAAUGUUGGAGUAUAAUGUAUUCUAAAUCCUACUGUAUUUCUAUUGUAAAACAAUAGAAACAGUAAUUGAAAACAUUUAAAACACAAUGUUUUCUAUUGUUUUGUUGCUCGAAAUCAUCCCAUUGAAGAACCGUUAAAUCAAUUGUUUUGCUCAGAUUUUUAUAUGGAAAAUUUUCGAUUUUUUUAUUGUAAAGAUACAUAACAACCCCCCUUUUUUAUUGUAAAAGUCCCAUUUACCAUUCAUUUUAUCGUGGAAAACCAUUAUUUCUCAUGUGAUUUUAUUGUCAAAAUUCCAUUAUAUUCAAUGGUAAAACCUAUGUUUUAAAUGGUGUUGUAACAAUAAAAUUUAUGAUAUUUUAAUGAU